AUUGAACGCUGGCGGCAUGCCUAACACAUGCAAGUCGAGCGGAUGAAGGGAGCUUGCUCCUGGAUUCAGCGGCGGACGGGUGAGUAAUGCCUAGGAAUCUGCCUGGUAGUGGGGGAUAACGUCCGGAAACGGGCGCUAAUACCGCAUACGUCCUGAGGGAGAAAGUGGGGGAUCUUCGGACCUCACGCUAUCAGAUGAGCCUAGGUCGGAUUAGCUAGUUGGUGGGGUAAAGGCCUACCAAGGCGACGAUCCGUAACUGGUCUGAGAGGAUGAUCAGUCACACUGGAACUGGGACACGGUCCAGACUCCUACGGGAGGCAGCAGUGGGGAAUAUUGGACAAUGGGCGAAAGCCUGAUCCAGCCAUGCCGCGUGUGUGAAGAAGGUCUUCGGAUUGUAAAGCACUUUAAGUUGGGAGGAAGGGCAGUAAGUUAAUACCUUGCUGUUUUGACGUUACCAACAGAAUAAGCACCGGCUAACUUCGUG
rnacentral:rRNA from 1 species